CUUCACUUGCUCAGUGAGAGCAGCAGCAGCUGGGCGGAGGCGGAGAUCUGAUGUGUAAUUUUGCUUCCUGCUCAGUGGCUUCCUGUCAUUGCCAAUCCGCUACGUGUGGGUCUUCUGCAUUUUGGGGAUUUGACCCCUCCAACAUCCUGGAAUGCUAUGAGCUCCCUCUGCUGGAGGAAGUUCACUCAGUGGCUGAAUGACUCCACUGAGAGCAGGAGCAACUAACAGGAGGGAUAACAGGAAAAGACACUAACUGCAUUGAAACUCACUGGAGGGUGAAGAAAUCAGUGGGAGAGGUCGAGGGAGAGUCAAGAUUGAUGUAAAAAAAAAAAAAAAAAAAAAGA